rnacentral:lncRNA from 1 species
AUCUCUGCCCCUCAGAGUCCUGGGGAGGAUGGAUGGAACAGGAGGAGCAUCAUGAGAAGGCUUCCUGUAAACUACGGAGGGUGAGGGGACGGAGCGUGAGGGAACGUCGUGAGAUGGUGCUCGUGGAAGCCAGCAGAGGGUGUAGGGUCUCCUGGAGCCACAUCUCUGGAGUUACAUGAAGUUGUGGACCUCUCAACAUGGGUUCUGGGAACUGAACCCAGGUCCUCUGGAAGGACAUCGAGUGCUCUUAACCACUGAGCCAUCUCUGCAGCCUAACCCCAUCCCUUGGAGGCUGAAGCAAAGCAAGUUCAAUGACCGUGCGACCUGGCUCUUGUUUGGGCCUAAGGAAAAGCCGACUGUAAGCCGGGAAGCAUCUCUGGCAAGAACAAGGAAGGAUUAAGCACGUCUGUGGUUGUGCGCAGGGAUCACAAGGUGCUCCUGCAGUGGGAAGAGCCACCACUAGGGGCGCUCCAAGUCUUGUAUUUUCUACCUUGAAAACUCGUUUCCCUGUGGCUGCCCUCCAAAUCCAACGGAGAUGAAUGGCUUUUAGUUUACCUAGCUGAUUUAAUAAACUUUAAAAAUAAAUGUACGAAUGACUUUCAAAAA